UGGGGAAUAUUGCACAAUGGGGGAAACCCUGAUGCAGCGACGCCGCGUGAACGAAGAAGGUAUUCGUAUCGUAAAGUUCUGUCCUAUGGGAAGAUAAUGACAGUACCAUAGAAGAAAGCUCCGGCUAAAUACGUGCCAGCAGCCGCGGUAAUACGUAUGGAGCGAGCGUUGUCCGGAAUUAUUGGGCGUAAAGGGUACGCAGGCGGUUUAAUAAGUCGAAUGUUAAAGAUCGGGGCUCAACCCCGUAAAGCAUUGGAAACUGAUAAACUUAAGUAGUGGAGAGGAAAGUGGAAUUCCUAGUGUAGUGGUGAAAUACGUAAGUAUUAGGGGGAAUACCAGUAGCGAAGGCGACUUUCUGGACACAAACUGACGCUGGGGUACGAAAGCGUGGGGAGCAAACAGG
rnacentral:rRNA from 1 species